GACGAACGCUGGCGGCGUGCUUAACACAUGCAAGUCGAACGGAAAGGCCUGCUUUCCCUUGUGGAUUGCGGGUGCUCGAGUGGCGAACGGGUGAGUAACACGUGAGUGAUCUUCCCCCAACUUGGGUAUAAGCCCGGGAAACUGGGUCUAAUUCCCGAUAGGACUGCAGUGUGGUUCCUGUGGUGGAAAACGAUUUUCUAGUGGUUUGGGAUUAGCUCGCUGCCUAUCAGCUUGUUGGUUGGGUAAUGGCCUACCAAGGCGGCGACGGGUAGCCGGCCUGAGAGGGUGGACGGCAACAUUGGGACUGAGAUACGGCACAGACUCCUACGGGAGGCAGCAGUGGGGAAUAUUGCACAAUGGGCGGAAGCCAGAUGCAGCGACGCCGCGUGGGGGAUGACGGCCUUCGGGUUGUAAACUCCUUUCGACAGAGAGGAAGCCACCUGGUUGGAAGGGUGGUGACGGUAGUGGUAGAAGAAGCACCGGCUAACUACGUG
rnacentral:rRNA from 1 species